rnacentral:tRNA from 1 species
ACUCGUUUGGUGAAAUUGGUAUACACGUCAGACUUAAAAUCUGAUUCUAAAUAAUAUGGAGUGUUGGUUCAAGUCCAAUAGCGAGUA